UACGUAGGGUGCGAGCGUUGUCCGGAAUUACUGGGCGUAAAGAGCUCGUAGGUGGUUUGUCACGUCGUCUGUGAAAUUCCGGGGCUUAACCUCGGGCGUGCAGGCGAUACGGGCAAUACUUGAGUGCUGUAGGGGAGACUGGAAUUCCUGGUGUAGCGGUGGAAUGUGCAGAUAUCAGGAGGAACACCGAUGGCGAAGGCAGGUCUCUGGGCCACUACUGACGCUGAGAAGCGAAAGCAUGGGGAGCGAACAGGAUUAGA
rnacentral:rRNA from 1 species